UGGAAUGUAAGGAAGUGUGUGA
rnacentral:miRNA from 1 species